rnacentral:lncRNA from 1 species
CCGCAGAGCAGAAGCAGUUUGCAAGCUGGCCUGGAGUCUCUUCUCAGCUCAACUGCCUGCAGGAAGGCUGUGCCCUCUCUGCC